CCCUUGAUACCUUGGGCAUAAUAAUAAUUCAUUUUUAUUUAAAAAAAAAUAUAUGAGGAAGAGAGGAAAGCUUGCAGUAAAAGGGUUUCAUUUGUAAGAGGGCUGCAGAAUCUCAUAAUCACCUCUUUUUUGGUGCCCCUUCUCCUCUCAUCAUUGGUGCCCUAAUUGCGACUUAUUGGGUUGAGUUGGGCGACAGCAAGCUUUUUUGUGAUGGGAUUUUGGCUUGGCAGUGUUGGGAAACACGAGGCAAAACUUAGUUCUCUUAUCCUUGUGGCCACUUUGUGGGUUAU
rnacentral:lncRNA from 1 species